ACGCGAGUAGGCCGCAGAGAAUAGUCUCAAGCGACUGUUUAGCAAAAACACAGGUCUAUGCUAAAUCGAAAGAUGAUGUAUAUGGGCUGACGCCUGCCCGGUGCUGGAAGGUUAAGGGGAAGUGUUAGAGCAAUCGAAGCACUGAACUUAAGCCCCAGUAAACGGCGGCCGUAACUAUAACGGUCCUAAGGUAGCGAAAUUCCUUGUCAGGUAAGUUCUGACCCGCACGAAUGGCGUAACGACUUGAGAGCUGUCUCAACAACAUACCCGGCGAAAUUGAAGUACUGGUAAAGAUGCCAGUUACCCGUGAUAAGACGGAAAGACCCCAUGGAGCUUUACUGUAACUUGAUAUUGAAUUUUUGUAUUACAUGUACAGGAUAGGUGGGAGACAGAGAACUAAUGCCGCCAGGUGUUAGGGAGUCGAUGUUGGGAUACCACUCUUGUAAUAUGAAGGUUCUAACCUGCACCCGUGAAUCCGGGUGGGGGACACUGUCAGGUGGACAGUUUGACUGGGGCGGUCGCCUCCUAAAAGGUAACGGAGGCGUUCAAAGGUUGGUUCAGCACGGACGGAAAUCGUGCAACGAGUGCAAACGCAUAAACCAGCCUAACUGCGAGACCGACAAGUCGAGCAGUAACGAAAGUUGGAGUUAGUGAUCCGGCGGUAUGAGAGUGGAAUUGCCGUCGCUCAACGGAUAAAAGCUACCCUGGGGAUAACAGGCUGAUCUCCCCCAAGAGUCCACAUCGACGGGGAGGUUUGGCACCUCGAUGUCGGCUCAUCGCAUCCUGGAGCUGUAGUCGGUUCCAAGGGUUGGGCUGUUCGCCCAUUAAAGCGGUACGCGAGCUGGGUUCAGAACGUCGCGAGACAGUUCGGUCCCUAUCUAUCACGGGCGUAGGAAAUUUGAGGAGAGCUGACCUUAGUACGAGAGGACCGGGUUGGACGUACCGCUGGUGCACCUGUUGUUCUGCCAAGGGCAUAGCAGGGUAGCUAAGUACGGACGGGAUAAACGCUGAAGGCAUCUAAGCGUGAAGCCCCCUUCGAGAUAAGAUUUCCCAUAGCGUAGGCUAGUAAGGACCCAUGAAGACUACAAGGUUGAUAGGCCGGAGGUGGAAGUGCAGUAAUGUAUGUAGCUGACCGGUACUAAUAGUCCGAGGGCUUGACCAA
rnacentral:rRNA from 1 species